rnacentral:tRNA from 1 species
CUCGGGGUGGAGCAGUGGUAGCUCGCCAGGCUCAUAACCUGGAGGCCGCAGGUUCAAAUCCUGCCCCCGAGA